UACGUAGGGGGCAAGCGUUGUCCGGAAUUAUUGGGCGUAAAGAGCGUGUAGGCGGUUAGGUAGGUCCGUUGUGAAAACUCGAGGCUCAACCUCGAGACGCCGAUGGAAACCAUCUAACUAGAGUCCGGAAGAGGAGAGUGGAAUUCCUGGUGUAGCGGUGAAAUGCGCAGAUAUCAGGAAGAACACCCGUGGCUAAGGCGGCUCUCUAGUACGGUACUGACGCUGAGACGCGAAAGCGUGGGGAGCGAACAGG
rnacentral:rRNA from 1 species